GAGAGUCCAAAGAGCCAGAUAAUCCUGCUGUAAGAGUGCCAAUGCCUGAGACGAUGGGGCGACCAGGAUUUCCAGGUUUAUGGAUCUUGGGUAACAGAUAGAAUACUCCUGGUCGGGGCUCUAAGAGUGUGUCUGUGUAGAUUUGUUCCUGUGCUGUACCAGAGAGUUUCUUGGAGAA